UGACCGGUUCUUAUCCACCUAAAAGAUAUUUUCUUCUUCCCUUUCAUGCUCCCACGCCAUUUUCACUUUACCACCAUGCAUUUGAAAAGAAAAAUAGAGAGAAUCGGCUAAGGAAAUAAAGGAGAGAAAAGUGGAAGGCUUGGGUAGUGAAUGAUUCAUGAGUAAUUGAAGAAAUAUCAAGUGGGUCUCAAGAUUCAAGCUACAUAAGCUAUGGUGGCUAUGGGUGUGAGGAAAUUUGUGAAUUUUGUUAGGUGAAAUCCAAGCUAAAACCAAGUGAUAGUGAUCGGUCUAGCGUGCAAUCAUCGGCACUUAUGGUCCAUCUCAUAUAGGUAAAGGCAUCUCAUAGCAUUUCAUUCCAAGUCACUUUGCUGCUAAAGGUCAAGUCGUAGCACUUUGUUUAUUUAAUUGUAAAUGGAUAGUGGCCUUGGUAUAAGUACUAAAUUGGAGAUUUUAGACUUCAUUGUAUAUACUUAUGAUUAUAUGUUUUAAAGAUUGAAUUGAUUAUUAUAAGUAUGGUUCAAGUUA